UGUUUUUUAUUUCUUUAUUUUAACUUUUUAUUAAAAAUAUAUUUUGGAUAACAACACAAUAUAUAUGAAUUAUUUUUAAACAAAUAUAUUUUUCAGAUUUUGGAUAAUUUUAAUCAUUUUCUAAUCAAAUAAUAUUUAAAUUCUUUUAUUUUUAACUAAUUUAUAUAUUUUAUUCAUUAAGAAUAUAAACGAUAUUAAUCAUUCUAAUUUUAACGUAAACGCUCUGUUGCGAAACAUUACUUAUGAGUAUUAAAUAAAUAAAUUAUUAGUUAGAGAAAAAAUAUAUGUCGUGCAAGUGUGUAAUAAAAUCUAUAUAUAUAUAAAAAUGUUUGCCUCUCUCCUGUUACGCCACCUCAGCGCCAGGUCAGAAAGUCGAAAAUUCCUGUGCUGACACGUGUCUCGGUUUACUCAAUUAAAAAUCGAUUGCUUUUCUGUUUUCGAUAUUGAUAGUGACUUAUUUCUGGGCCCAAAUCUAUAUAGGUCCAUAUCGACAUUAUCUUCUUUCAACCUCACAAUUUUAGGGUUCAUCAGUUCUACGACUAUUGGCUUCUGUCAACCAACAAUGGUGGUUCUGAGAUUGCGUGUGACCUGACGAUUUUUCAACAAUCUUCCCGUCGGACUCAUGACAUUUUAAAUUGAUGCUUCACCUCCGAAACGUUACAAGUCGCAUUAAUUGGGUAUCAUUAACCCAAACUUAACUCUUCCUCACAACUACGACCACAAUCUCUAAUUCAAUGAAUCUUAUCUAUCAUCUAAUCGGUGAUUCUCACCUAUAAAAAGUAUUCGAGACCAGCGAAUUUUUUCGCGACCGGCGAUUUGAAAUGAAAGCUGAGCCAUGGACCUCCGGGAAUCUAUGGGCGCAUGGGCAACAAGUCAUCCCGGAUUGGCAUUUCAACCCGUCGUUAUAUCAAUUGAGCGGAUGUGAGGGGAUGGGGACUGCAGAGAUAGAGGAUUUCACGCAAGUUUGUUUCUUGAGGCAGAGAUGGCCGUGGCAGUUGGAGCAAAUAUUCAUGGUGGUGGGGCAGCCGAGGAAGCCGCAGAUGAUAGAACACAGACGGUGGCCUUCCGGCGUCUGACGUUGAUGCUAUUCCGCCAUAGAUCUUGAGGGAAAGUUCGAUGCUUUAAAUCAAAAAUCAAUAAAAGACAAUUGAUUUAAAGAGAUAACGAGUUUGCAGAAUCUAGAAAAAAACAUGACACGAACCAGAAUCUGGUCACCAAGAGAAACACAAAAAAAAAAACAAA